UGUACUGCAUGAUACAAGCAAUUAACAUCCUAUCAUGCUCUGUGGCAUGUAUAAAAAUGCUGAGCAGGCCCAGUUGAUCUAAAUUAUGGAUCAAGAUGGAAAGAGGAAAAGAUGUAAGUGACUUACGACUUAAGACUUAAGUGACUUAAAUUCAUUAUUGGUUCAACACCUUACAUCCAAACACUUUAUGUUGGUUUUGCCUUUGAUUUGUCAUCUGUCUGUAUAUAUAUGGGUUUGUCUGUGCCACACAACUGACAGUCACAGACAGAAACAAUUUUCAUUUGCUGCAUUUACCACAUAGGUAUUUUUAGUUAGUUUGGAAAUGUUAGUGAUGAAUUUAGAAGGUUUAGGGUGGGAGGACUUAGGUGGAUGUGCAGGUGCAUGCCUGAAUACAUCUAAUCGCCCGAGAAAAUAUUGAAUCAAUCCUGUAAUUCAAGGAAACGUUUUUUUUUUUGUUUUUUGUUUUUUUGUCAUGUAACAUAUGUAAGUGCAACAGUGUUAACAUGUAGCUAGUGCUGGAGAACAUAAAUGGUUGUCAUAGCUGUGGUGACCGGACACAGGGUGAGAACUGUGUCCACUGGGAACUUCAUUGGCGAUUCUGACUAAGAGACCAGCCCUGAGGGACAGGAGAACAAAGUCCCAAAAAUGGAAAUUUCGGGAGCCAUGCGCGCUGAGCUGGGCUCGGGGCGAAGCGGCUUGAAUGUAGAUUAGCAGCAGAUCUCUGCAGCUGCGAGUGCUGAAGGAAGUGGGACAGAACUGUGGGACUGGUGGGGGGGGGGGGGGGGGGGGGGCUGUUAACAGGCAGCUAUUUUACAUAUAUAAGGGGUCAGCAAUAUUGCUGCUGGAGCAGUGCUGUCGUACGAGUCUGGUCUUUUCUGAUAACAAAAUAAUGCCAGCUUGGGCUUUAUUUUCAUUACCUGUGCUAAUUAAUAACAACAAAUCCAGUAACAUGAUCAAGGGUUUAACUUUUGCACGCCACGUGAGGAUUCUGGGAAGUUUGAGUAUCACACUGCUGCUCUCCAGUAGAUGAGAAGGAGAUUUCCCUAUGCUGGGAGCAAUGCUUGUUUGCAGUCACCAAUGCUGACACCAUACCUGGUGGUAUUAAACCACAGCCACUCAAACAUACGACAGUCAACAGUCAACCAGAGGCAACUGGCAUCAUGUGACCAGAUGUUAAUGGCGAUACACUUAAUUCAAAAUGGUUUCAAGGUCCUCCCCAGGUGGUCUUUGGAAGAGACAGGACGACCUGGAGAGCACACAGAACCUCUGAGCCUAUCAAACCAGAGGCCAAGAAAAGACCUUGUUCCACACUUUUCUGUUCAUCUCAAAUUCAUCACUUACGGCAGGUGAGAGGAAAAGCAGUUUCACUCUGAUUGGAGGGCCAUCUUCCCUGAAUGAUGACCUCACAGUAGGGUGAUCUAGACUGGCAAUGCCCUCAUCCACACCCUUAUCACAGUGCAGCUACACUUCCACCCUACUCCGUCUUCUUGGUCCACCCUCACCUACCACUCGCUAAUUCAAGAGAACCUUGAACUUUGACCUCUCUUCAGCAAUGAGGCAGUUCUUUAGACUCUCAGAGAAAAAGGUGGCAGUGCUCAGCAUUAGCCUACAUCAUCAUUGUGAGACAUAAACAAAUCAGCUGACCUCUGCCAAGAAGCCAUCAGGGAGGAUGACACAUUUUGGUAUGUGAGACUGGACAUUGCGGGUUGGGGGGGUUGUGGUUUUAUAUAUUCUCCUGAACAUAUCCACCCUCGUUCACAAAGGUCCCUUAAGACAUAAGGUGCACCUUAUACGUUGUUCACUAUUAGCCACAGCAGGAAAUGGAACCAAAGAUUUGAACAAUAAUAAUUUUGUUCUACAUGAUGACCUACUACAGAUAUAAUCAGACGUUCUGCAAAACAUCAAGGUUUGCUGAUAAUUGCUAUUUUGUGUCUCUUGUUCAUUGUUUUAUUUAGCCAUGGUUCUCAAGUUUUCAGCCCUAAGUUCUAAAGCUGUUUUUUGUUUUCGAUUUGGGGGUUGGGGUGUUUGUUACCCUCUUUGGGCAUUAAGAGAUUGUGCUGAAGGAGGGGGUGCUGUUUUGCUGUCGAGGUACGGGAAUGCCAAGCCAAUUGAACUGGGCCUCCGUUUUCUGCAUGCUUUGAGUACAGAUAAGCAUGAUGUAGGAACUCUUUGUGACUAGGGCAAAUCAGGCCACUCAACUUUGGGGAAGUGGGGGUUGGAGGGGGAGGGGGUACUGUGGGGUACACAGGCAAGAGGCAAAGGAGGGAAAUAGGUUAAAACAACUCCCAUCCCUUAGCAUGUGAAGACGUGACCUGAGUUCCAAUGUUGUCCUGACAGAUAUGCCCUUCUAAAAUACAGAAACUGUUAUGUAUUCAGGGUUCUCU